UGGUCAUCCCUGAUGGAGUUCUCGCGUGAAAAGGAGUCUUUCGCGUGGUGGACGCAGCUCUAUUGACAUUGCGCCCUAUAGCUGUUGUCACUCAGUUCAAGACCUAAGAAUGCUCUUCCUGGUUGGAAUAGGGUAGUGGUGGUCCAUACUUUUGAAGCAUCCCUCAUGCCAAUUAGUCUUUCCACAGCCCAGCAGAAAACAAAGCAUGACAUAGGGCAGCUGUCGCUUGUGCACCAAGGCAGUCCCAAAGAGGAAGAACAAACAGUUUCAUCUGCUCCAAGGAAUUGUAGCCCACCCAGGGCAAAGUACAGUUUCUUCUCGCUAGCGCCAAGAAUAUAACUUCAAAUUCAGAAGACAAUAGAUCUGUCGCCAUUUCAGACGAAGACGAACAAAUGGAGAUUAAUAUCAGAGCUGUGACUCAGGUUGGCCGCCAGCUUGCAUUAAUUGGGGAUGAGUAUAACAGGGCAUACACUGGCAAAAUGGAAGAGUCUCUUUUUCAUCUCACCAAAAGGGUAGCAGCCAAUGUUUUUCAGAGUUGUUUUUGGAACAGUUUUAAAAGAGUUAUGGAAAGUUUGGUGAGUUUCUUGAAAAGUGGCUGGAAAAAGAAGACCAACCAUAUUUCGAUUAUUUGGGUUCCUCUCAAGUACGUGUGCUACAAAUGGGUGCCGGCCACCCUGUUUGCUGUUUUGAUGUGGUGGCUAAUCACUUAUGAACCUCAGGACUAAUAUGAAGUUGCUAUUGAAGGUCACUGCUGGACUCUGACCAGUAUAUAUCUCACCCAGGUGGAAUUUGCUUUGUGUGUUUGUUUUUUAAAGUUGUCUAUAAAAAACCCUUUUCUAUUUAAAUUGUAGGCUAGUGCUGGGUCACUGCUGUUUUCAUACUUUUAAAUAUAUGCAUAUAUAUAUUAAUACUAGGUUGUUGCUGGGUAACUACCUGAAUUGCUUGUUUUAAAAUAUGUAUUUUCAGGUGAUUCAAGUCUGUCUUUUAUAUUCUUCGUAAGAUGUCCAUUUUGUGUUGUUUUAUAAAAUGGAAGAUUUUUGAAAGAUGACAGAAGGAAUGCUGGCCAUCCUUUUAAAAUAUUUGAACUGCAAAAUAUGUAAUAAAAAUGAAAACCUUGGGACUGGAAUAAAAUUAACAUUUCUGACACAA